CUAGUGGUUAGAGUGGAGGGACGGCAGGUUGCCUAGUGGUUAGAGUGGAGGGACGGCAGGUAGCCUAGUGGUUAGAGUGGAGGGACGGCAGGUAGCCUAGUGGUUAGAGUGGAGGGACGGCAGGUAGCCUAGUGGUUAGAGUGGAGGGACGGCAGGUAGCCUAGUGGUUAGAGUGGAGGGACGGCAGGUAGCCUAGUGGUUAGAGUGGAGGGACAGCAGGUAGCCUAGUGGUUAGAGUGGAGGGACGGCAGGUAGCCUAGUGGUUAGAGUGGAGGGGAGGCAGGUAGCCUAGUGGUUAGAGUGGAGGGACAGCAGGUUGCCUAGUGGUUAGAGUGGAGGGAGGCAGGUAGCCUAGUGGUUAGAGUGGAGGGACGGCAGGUUGCCUAGUGGUUAGAGUGGAGGGACGGCAGGUUGCCUAGUGGUUAGAGUGGAGGGACGGCAGGUUGCCUAGUGGUUAGAGUGGAGGGACGGCAGGUUGCCUAGUGGUUAGAGUGGAGGGGACGGCAGGUAGCCUAGUGGUUAGAGUGGAGGGACGGCAGGUAGCCUAGUGGUUAGAGUGGAGGGGACGGCAGGUUGCCUAGUGGUUAGAGUGGAGGGGACGGCAGGUAGCCUAGUGGUUAGAGUGGAGGGACGGCAGGUAGCCUAGUGGUUAGAGUGGAGGGACGGCAGGUAGCCUAGUGGUUAGAGUGGAGGGACAGCAGGUAGCCUAGUGGUUAGAGUGGAG
ensembl:lncRNA